rnacentral:tRNA from 1 species
GGCGCUAUAGCCAAGUGGUUACGGCGACAGAUUAGAAUUUCUGAAUUACGAUCUGUUCCUCUUUGAGGGCGCAAGUUCGAAUCUUGCUGGCGUCG